CAUUACGUUGGCAAUCAAGAUGAACCACCAUCCUCUCUGUCUAUCUCUGGCAUGUAUUCCUGUUGCUCCAUCAAGUAGAUAGACAUGCUCCUUAUUCAUCUGCCACCUUCACUGGUCUGUCUAAAUACCCCUGGCUCUCUUGGAACUUACUAUAUAGACCCGGCUGGACUCAAACACAAAGAGAUCUACUUGCAUCUGCCUCCUGAGUACUGGAAUUAAAGGCUUGCACCACCAUGCCUGUCCCAGUGUAUCUCAUUUUGCUGGUUUGUUCACAUGUCAACUUACUAUCUAUCCCACAAUGGUGCAUCCAACUUCAGGGUAAGUGAAGACUCAAUUUGGAUAAACAGAAGAGGCUCAAGGUUCUAGAGAGAAUUACAAGGUAUGACUACAGUACUGGGUCCUAAUCUAGGAUGGGAAGAACCCCUGGCAAAGUCACUGUUUAUGGCAGGCACCAUAGCCAUUUGUUUCUUGGGCUCCCUGCACAAUUGAAUGCAAAGGAGGAUAGAAACUAGGUGAGGUGACUAUAGGCUAUAAUGCCAGCUCAUGAGAGGUUGAGGGAAAGGACCACAAGUCUGAGACCAGCCUGGAAUACAGAGUGGGUCUUAUUCUGUAAUAGCCCAGUGCUAUUCUGGGCUAUCAUUCUGGUUUCCUUUCUAUUAAAGUAAUAAAACAAUCUGAACAAAAGCAAUUUUUGGAAGAAACAGGUUUUAUUUCCACUUAAAGGUUACUACCCAUCACUGAAGGAAGUCAAGGCAGGAACUCAAGCAAGAACUUCAGUUAAAACCAUAGAGAAAUGCUGCUUGCUGGAGGGCUCAGACUCUAAUUUAGUUAGCUUUCUCAUACAGCUCAGGACCAUCUGCGAAGGAAAUGAUGCUUCCCCAAACCAGUUGAACUCUACUACAUUAAUUAAUAAUCAUGACAAUCUCCCAAGAUGUACCCGCAGGCUUAUGUGACCUGAACAAUAUUUUUACUGAGAUUCCUUCCUCAUGUGACACUAGGCUGUGACAAAUUAAACUUAAAAAUGUCUGAUAGUUUCAACGUAAUUUGCCCCCAUAAUUUCAAAGGCAGUGGCACUAUUAGAAUGUGUGACCCUGUAGGAGUAGGUGAAAUCUUGUUGGAGAAAGUCUGUAGAGGUGAGAUUUGAGGUCUCAAAUAUGCUCAAGACACACUCAAUGAGACAGACCAUUUUUUGUUGCCUACAAGUCAAGAUGUAAGAAUCUCCAUACCCAGUUCCAUGUCUUCGGGAACACCAGCAUGUUGCAUGAUGAUGAUAAUGGACUAAAUCUCUGAAAAUGCAAUCUACCCCAAUUACAUGAUUUUCCUUUCUAAGAGUUGUUUUGUUCAUAGUGUCUCUGCACAGCUAUAGAAACCCUAAUUAAGACAACUACCUGGGACAGUUAUGUUAUUACAUAAUUUUGCUGUAUUAAAAAGUGUAGGGGUGGUGAUGUGUCUUAGUGGCAAAGACAAUUGCUGACCAACUUAGGAACUUGAUCUGUCCCUGGGGAUCACUUGGUAAACAUCAAUAAACACCUCCUCAACACUGUUUUCCGACCUCACCAUGCACCAUGGCAUAACUCUCCAAUAAACAAAAAACAUAGUUUAAAGAAAAUGUAACAAGUGAUUGGUAUUUGCUGACUUUCUAUGGCUGAUUAUUUGUUUGCUAAUUACCAAGAGAUCCCUUGUCUUAAUUAAUGAUCUAGAUUUUUAGCUCAUGAACCCAGUUCAUUCAGGGUAAAUGACUUCUGAAUACACUCAUUUCCCCUGCCCCGGCUACCUUGAUAUUAGUUGAGUUCAAGCAGAAUAGGAAGGUAGAGCAAAUGUUUAUGUUUGUUAGUGAUUUUCAGACUUUGCCUCCUGAUUAUUCUGGCAUGACAUGACAUGAUGGACUUGUGAAAUAAAGACAAGCUUUGACAGAAAAGUCAAGUGAGAGACCUUCUGUUAAAAUGAUGGGUAUGAAGACACAAGUCUUGGAAUACCAGAGACCAUAUACACUUGCUAUUCUUCAUGUCAAAUCUUUAUCUUUGUCAGAGAACAACAAAAUUAAGGAAUAUUCAUGGAUAUUAAAUCCUACUGAAAUAUGCAACUCAAGCUUGUUUAACUUCAUUGUACCUAUCACAAUGUCACUCAACAGCUAUUUUUCAUUGAAAAUUCUCUCUCACACACUGGUGUAUGUGUGUGUGUGUGUGUGUGUGUGUGUGUGUGUGUGUGUAAAUGUGUAUGACUUUGGAGGUCAAAAUACCACAAUCAUCAUUGUGGAAAUAGCGUUACAGGCAGUUAUGAGCUACUCAAUGUGAGUGCAAGGAAUCAAUUUUAGGACUUAUGAAAGAGAAGCAAACACUAUAAACUGCUUAGCCACAUCUCCAGAAACAACAGUUUUUUUUAAAAAACAGAAUAUACUUACUUAUUUUGGACAAUCUCAUACAUGUACACCAUGUGUCUUGAUUGUACACACACCAACUCUUCUCUCCCCCUCCCUUCUAGGCAUUCCUAAUAUGUCUUCUCCCGCAUCAUCUCCUGUUGUUCUUACUGUUGUUAAUAACUUACUGAGACCAAUUACUGCUGCCUUUCAGCAUGCUGACUGAUAUGCUGCUAUUUCGUUAAGGGUCUCUCCCUUUCUAGAGAUGAUGGGAAAAUUUGAGACUCUGUUCUACUUGGCACAUGCAGGUUUCUCUGUGCCCAGAACCCAGCAGGCUUCACCCCUCAGAGGGAGAAAGAGGGAUGUAAGUCAGGAGGAAACUAAGGUGUGGGUGAGUGGGAUCACCUCUUUUCUAUCUCCCCAACUGAAGAGUCACAGAGAAUACCCUCGAGGAAGGUUAGAGGAGGGUGGGUUAUCCUGCAGUCAUCAACAGCCUAACAUGUUCAUCUAAACCAAAAGUCUUCCUGGUUCUUUUUAGAAACCAAUGCCCUAUAAAAAUUCCUUCUGACCUCCCUCUACAGCACACACUUGCUAAGAUGGUCUGAUUUCUACACCUGACUGCUGAUCACUCACACAUUUUUUCCAUUCAAUCUCUUUUCUUUGAAUGUGUGAAAAAAACUGAUUUACCAGGAAGUAUGAGACCUUAGGCUCAUGGCAUCUCCCUGCCCUGCUUUUCACAGGACAUGAUUAGAGUGCUUGGAGUCUAUGCCAACAGUCAUUGCCUAGUCAGUGUGUAAAAAAUAUACAUGUUCUAAGACAUGUACAUUGUUUUUCUCUAUAGGGAAAAUAACAUAAUACAUGGUGUUGAUGCUAUUUUAAAUGUUUUUUCUAUUAUUUGUGCAUUCUGUGUGCAUCUGACAGGGCUAUGGCAAUCAGGUGAAAAUCAGAAGACGUUGGAGUUGAUUCUCUCCUCCCACCAUGUGGGUCCCAAGGGUAAACCUCAGGUCAUCAGGUUUUGGCAGCAUACACCAUUACAAGCUAAGCCAUCUCAUCCACUCAAAGCAUUACCAAUGGACAGUCAAUGUAGCAAAUUUGGGAUUUUUUUCCCUGCUAAAAGGGAUUGAAUCUAGGAGAUCAUGUGUGUGGCUCUUCAUCUUUACCACUGAUCUAUAUUCCCAGCAGUGUUUGUUGUUAUUUAUGCCCAUAGCAUGUGAUUAUACAUAGAUAAUGUAUAGUUGGA